UGGUAGGAUAGAGGCCUACCAUGGUGGUAACGGGUAACGGGGUGUUAGGGCACGACACCGGAGAGGGAGCCUGAGAAACGGCUACCACAUCCAAGGAUGGCAGCAGGCGCGCAAAUUACCCAAUCCCGACACGGGGAGGUAGUGACAAUAAAUAACAAUACGGGGUUCUUUCGGAUCUCGUAAUUGGAAUGAGUACAAUUUAAAUCUCUUAACGAGGAACAAUUGGAGGGCAAGUCUGGUGCCUGCAGCCGCGGUAAUUCCAGCUCCAAUAGCGUAUAUUAAAGUUGUUGCAGUUAAAAAGCUCGUAGUUGAAUUUCGGGGUUAGUAGGUUGGUCAUGCCUCUGGUAUGUACUGGUCUCACUGAUUCCUCCUUCCUGAUGAACCGUAAUGCCAUUAAUUUGGUGUUGCGGGGAAUUUGGACUGUUACUUUGAAAAAAUUAGAGUGUUUAAAGCAAGCUAACGCUUGAAUACAUUAGCAUGGAAUAAUGAAAUAGGACGUUCGAUCCUAUUUUGUUGGUUUCUAGGAUUGACGUAAUGAUUAAUAGGGGUAGUUGGGGGCAUUAGUAUUCAAUUGUCAGAGGUGAAAUUCUUGGAUUUAUUGAAGACUAACUACUGCGAAAGCAUUUGCCAAGGAUGUUUUCAUUAAUCAAGAACGAAAGUUAGGGGAUCGAAGACGACCAGAUACCGUCGUAGUCUUAACCAUAAACUAUGCCGACUAGGGAUCGGAU
rnacentral:rRNA from 1 species